UGCUGUCCAUAGAAUUAUAUA
ensembl:piRNA 21ur-1474 ncRNA